rnacentral:rRNA from 1 species
CCCGGGAAUCACCUAGAGAUAGUGGAGUGCCUGUCAAGGAGCCCGGUGUCAGGUGCUGCAUGGCUGUCGUCACCUCGUGCCGUGAGGUGUUGGGUUAAGUCCCGCGGCGAGCGCACCCCUGUUCCUAGUUGCCAUCAGGUGACGCCGGGCACUCUCGGAAGACUGCCGAGGUUAACUCGGAGGAAGGUGGGGACGACGUCAAGUCAUCAUGGCCCUUACGCCCAGGGCUACACACGUACUACAAUGGUGGGUACAAAGGGAAGCGAACCUGCGCGGUGGAGCUAAUCCCAAAAAGCCUACCGUAGUUCUGAUUGCAGUCUGCAACUCGACUGCAAGACGUCGGAAUCGCUAGUAAUCGCGGAUCAGACUGCCGCG